GACGAACCGUCCUAACGUUGUUCGGAAUCACUGGGCUUAAAGGGCGCGUAGGCGGGCCGCCAAGUCUGAGGUGAAAUCUUUCGGCUUAACCGGAAAAUAGCCUUGGAUACUGGCGGUCUCGAGGGUGGUAGGGGCAUGUGGAACUUCCGGUGGAGCGGUGAAAUGCGUUGAUAUCGGAAGGAACGCCGGUGGCGAAAGCGACGUGCUGGACCACUACUGACGCUGAGGCGCGAAAGCCAGGGGAGCAAACGGG
rnacentral:rRNA from 1 species